rnacentral:rRNA from 1 species
AGAGUUUGAUCAUGGCUCAGGGUGAACGCUGGCGGCGUGGAUAAGGCAUGCAAGUCGAAUGGGUUUAGGCCCAUGGCAGACGAGGUAGUAACACGUAGGUACGUACCCCAGAGUCAAGAAUAACCCGGAGAAAUCCGGGAUAAUACUUGAUAGUCUCUUCGGAGUAAAGAUUUAUCGCUUUGGGAACGGCCUGCGGGAUAUCAGCUUGUUGGUAAGGUAACGGCUUACCAAGGCUAUGACGUCUAGGGGAGGUGAGAGCCUGACCCCCACCGAUGGAACUGAGAUACGGUCCAUACUCCUACGGGAGGCCGCAGUCGAGAAUCUUCCGCAAUGGGCGAAAGCCUGACGGAGCGACGCCGCGUGGUUGAUGAAGUCCUUAGGGACGUAAAGACCUUUUAUGAGGGAAGAAGUUUAUUGACGGUACCUCAUGAAUAAGGGGCUCCUAACUCUGUGCCAGCAGGAGCGGUAAUACAGAGGCCCCGAGCGUUACCCGGAAUCACUGGGCGUAAAGGGUGUGUAGGCGGUUGUAUUAGUCCUUUGUUAAAGCCUUGGGCUUAACCCAAGGACUGCGUAGGAAACGGUACAACUAGAGGAUGCGAGAGGUCUAGGGAACUCAUGGUGUAGGGGUGAAAUCCGUUGAUAUCAUGGGGAACACCAAAUGCGAAGGCACUAGACUGGCGUAUUCCUGACGCUGAGACACGAAAGCGUGGGUAGCGAAUGGGAUUAGAUACCCUAGUAGUCC